rnacentral:rRNA from 1 species
GACGAACGCUGGCGGCGUGCUUAACACAUGCAAGUGGUGCGACGAACCAGGGCUUGCCCUGGGCAAAGCCGCGAACGGGUGAGUAACACGUGAGUAACCUGCCCCGAUGACCGGGACAACCCGAGGAAACUCGGGCUAAUACCGGAUGUGGUACAUGGACUUAAGCCUGUGUACUAAAGGAAGCUUCGGCCUCCGCAUUGGGAGGGGCUCGCGGCCCAUUAGCUUGUUGGUGGGGUAACGGCCACCAAGGCAACGAUGGGUAGCUGGUCUGAGAGGACGAUCAGCCACACUGGGACUGAGACACGGCCCAGACUCCUACGGGAGGCAGCAGUGGGGAAUCUUGCGCAAUGCGCGAAAGCGUGACGCAGCAACGCCGCGU